CAAGAACAAAGGAAGAAAAGAAGAACAAAAACCCUAGAGUGAAAAUUGAAGAAAAAAUUGGUGGAUUUCAAGUAAUCAAGCAAUCAAAGGUAAAAUUUCUUGAUUUUGACUUGUGAUCUACCUUUCCCAUGCAUUCUUUUGCAUUUUCCAUGGUUGAAUCACAUGAUUUCAUGAUGGGUAUCUUGCUGAUCAAACCCUAGGAGAGAGAAUUUGAUGAUGAUUUAGAUAGAUUUUUAAGAUAUAUGGAUGUUUUUAGUUGUUUAUGGUGUUAAGUGUAAGAAUUAAGCUUGAAAUUCACAUAUUCCUCAUGAGUUCAUCAUUGGCCGAAUCUUCCUUGUAGAGUGUUGAUGGUGGGUUUGAUUUUAUUUCAAGCAAAUUGGUUAGGAAAUGAUGAAUUAUGGUAAGAAAAUCAAGUAGGAAAAAUCAUAGUGUUGAUGCACCCACCAUGGCCAAAAUUCUCAAGAGAGAAUGUGAAGAUGAUUUUGCUAAAUUUUAUGCUAUUUGACUUGUGUUUGAUGGUUUGGAGAAUUGGAAGAAACAUGGAGUUAAUUGGUGUUGAAUUGGACAUAUUGGCCAAUUAAUCAAGUGAUAGACCGAAUUAGGCCAAUACCGUUUUAUUUAGGUAAACAAUUGAAAUUGUGUAGAAUACCGUGUUUAGACGAUAAUCUGAAAAAUUUGCAUUCCAUUUCAUGCAUUAGUAAAGAGCCUGAAAUAGAUUUAUAAUGGUAUGACACAAUAUAUUGAAUUAUGUGUUGUGUAUUUUAUAUAGGUGGUGAGCCCUCUAACAAGGGUAAAGACGUUGUGUCAGAGGAUUGAGAAUAGGAGUAUUUCAAACUCCUGACAUUGUGAGUAACCUUAUUAUCGUCUUAAUUAUCUAAAGUAUGUUUUUAUCCGAUUUUGUAAUUUCAUGGAAAAUGAGUUUAAAUGGUAAAUCUUUAUGUUUUAUAAACAAAAUGAGUUUAAAUGAAAUGAUUUUAUAAAUUGUCUUGAAAUUGAAUGAUGGCUUUGAAAAUAGAGUAAUUGGAGACCACUUCAUUGUGUUGUAAAUGUUUGGUUCUAAUUGAUUGGCUUAUGGCAAUAUUGGCAUGAAUGGUUGAAUUUCUAAAUGUGCUAAAAAUAUAUGAACUGUUGAUUUGCCUUGAGAGGCUGUAAAAUAAAAUAAUUGCCAUGUCAUGCUAUUGCAAAUUUUAUUGUAUGGUGGGUUUAGCUUGCUGCAGUGGGCAGGUUUCUGUGGACCAGCUUAGUAGAGGGGCACGAUAAACCCCUUUAUAUUUUAUCUCGGUUGGAGAGGCGUGUAAGGUAACUCCUGAGGUACAAUUUUAGAGUUCACUUCACGCCAAACCACCACAUGAGGGUGAACUCAGCCAACGCCAAGGACCGGCUAUGUUUUCAAAUAAAAACAUGAUUUAUGCAUACAUAACUUUUUAAUAGCCUUGGCAGACUCGGUUUGGGAUAGCCCUUGGCCAAGGUAUCCCUGACAAUUGAGUAUGAGAAUAAUUUUGGCACAGGCCAAGUUUUUAAGAAAUUCAUAA
rnacentral:lncRNA from 1 species